GGGUAGGUUGCCUCGCUUGUUGGCUUUGGCAGGUUUGCAGCCCUCUUGGGCGUUAAGGCCGUUAGCGUCCUCCAGCAAAACAGCGUGAUGGGCGCCUCCAGGAAAAGGUUGAUUUUUGUGCUGCAAUUAUCAGACAUGAAACUGAGGGAGAAGGUGCCCAGAGGCACAAAAACAUCGAGUUGCAGGUGAGUCUUGUGAUUCAAGCUCUCAGCUGGACGCAUUUGAUUUGUCCUUCACACCUCACUUACAAACACACCUCCUUCACAAACUUUCCACCACUUCUCCCUUAUACCUCUCUUCUCAGCUACUCCAUCUCUCCCCAAAAGUUAGCUACAGAUGUUUCCCACUGGCUCUCUUCUGCUGCUCCUCCUCAUUUUAGCAUCUCCUUGGGAGCCAGGAAGCACUUGGCAGGAAAAGUCACCAAAAGCUUCUCUCAUUCCAUUUUCAGAGGUGAGGGAAGCAACCCAGUCGUCCUCAGCCAGGAUGCCUUUCAUUCUUCAUUCCCCUGGAGAGAAAAACUGAACUACUUCCACGGCUAUACAUUAUCGCAGUCAGAUCAGGAAAAAAACCUUACUGAUUGGACUGGGCAGGCAACAGCCAAAAGGCCAAAUACCUCCCACCAGAACAAUCCACUGAUCCAAGCCUGUUUCUUGAGACUCUCCCUCCCUUCAUGGCCUCACGAUUGUUUCCCCUGUCACGAAGGACAGGAUGUGCGUUCAAUCACUUCAGAGAAGUGCAGGUCCCCUGUUGUAGGACUGCGCAUCCAGUCACAUGCACAGACGUGCACAAGCACAUCAGAGCAAGGGACUGGGGACCGCAGAGCCCAAUUAAUGACCAAACGUGCGUUAGUCACGCGCUGGAAGACAGCUGCACGUCGGUCAUAUCACAGACCACAGCUGCCUCCACGGGGGCUUAGCGAUCUGACUGCUGUGGAAAGUUCAGAGCAGAUUUUCAGAGCUCAGUGAACACCCACAGUUAAAUUAGGGAUAUGAAGACACAUAAUGAAUAGCGUACAAAUAUUAAAAUGCUACAACAUAAAGAAAACAUACAGCCUCACCUGUGCACCAGUAGGGAUAAGUGGCACAUGGGGUGUGCGAAACAAGCCCAGGAUUUACAAUUACAGUACAAGCAUACCUUACCUGACUCUGGGGACAAAGCUGGCUGGGGGGGGGAGCAGUACGGCUGUCUCAGGAAGGAAAAAGUGAAGUCCUGGCCAGCUGGAAGAAGCAGAGCAAGGAGGCAGCUGCUGGCAGUCUUGGAAAGCCACCGAAGAUGGCCAGAAGGUAGGAUGGGAUCUUCUAGAGACUCAUGGGCCUCUGUUUUCCAUCCCCACCCCUCCAGGAAGUCUGAGGCAAGGCAGAUGCCAGGGACAGCUACACUUUCCCACAGACGGUAGAAGACCUUCCCAAGAGAUGAUUUGGCAAACUGAAUUCUCACAGUAUGCUCAGGUAUGUCUCAGCAAAGUUAGUGGAAGAGCUGACUAUGUCUAAGAAUACUUCUGUGUGCAUUUCUACUCUGAAGACCUGUGGGGAUCUAAAGGCAGGGGAACUUUUCCCUUGACUUCAGCUGGUCUUGGAUGAAAGCCCCAAGAAAUACACAGUAAUCCAACAUGGUGAAAUUAUGAAAUACGUUACAGAAUACUCAUAUUUUCUUAGUAUCAAAAGAGAAGCCGUUAUGUAAUACUUGCUACUGUAGGGGAACGGGAAUGUCUGCUUAGUUCAUGAUUACAGGGUAAGUAGUAGCAAGUUAAUGUUUAACUAUGUUGUUGUAAUUUUGUUCCAUCCCUCAAGACUCUUAAAAAAAAACAGUGGAAAAAGUCUGGAGUGGUUUUAUUACAUGACACGCAAAUACCACCCUAUGAUCCAAUUUGCAGCCCUUCAAAAUGAGGAAAUUGGUGCUUUGCAAAGCAGGGCGUCUGACAUUCUGUAAGUUAAAGGACAGAGGUCCGGUUUCCCCGUGUCCCAU
rnacentral:lncRNA from 1 species